rnacentral:rRNA from 1 species
GAUGAACGCUAGCGGCAGGCUUAAUACAUGCAAGUCGUGGGGCAGCAUGAGUAGCAAUACUUGAUGGCGACCGGCAAACGGGUGAGGAACACGUACACAACCUUCCUUCAAGCGGGGAAUAGCCCAGAGAAAUUUGGAUUAAUACCCCCAUAAUAUAUUUGAUAAGGCAUCUUAUUAAUAUUAAAGCUUCGGCACUUGAUGAUGGGUGUGCGGCUGAUUAGAUAGUUGGCGGGGUAACGGCCCACCAAGUCUACGAUCAGUAGCUGAUGUGAGAGCAUGAUCAGCCACACGGGCACUGAGACACGGGCCCGACUCCUACGGGAGGCAGCAGUAAGGAAUAUUGGACAAUGGACGAAAGUCUGAUCCAGCCAUGCCGCGUGAAGGAUUAAGGUCCUCUGGAUUGUAAACUUCUUUAUAUGGGACGAAAAAGGGCAUUCUUGUUCACUUGACGGUACCAUAUGAAUAAGCACCGGCUAACUCCGUGCCAG